CGAAAAUAAAACGAUUAUUUUAAAUGAAGGAGGUUAUGAUAAUAAUAUGACUUCAUGUAAUUUCUCAAUAAGUAAUGUAGGCAAAGACAUAUAAAAAAAUAUAUAGGAGAUAAGUCUUAAGGAUUAAGAUAAUUAUUAAUAUUGUUUAAUAAUUGAACUUGAUUAGUGAUUUUGGGCCUAAUGUACCUAACCAUAUUUUACUAAAAACAAUUCACGUAAGUUUAUGAAAUGUUGAUGCUAGUACCUAUUGACUACCCAUUUAUAUUAUUGGAAGUAAUACGUAAAAUUACAACUAGUUACUAAUUUACUACAAUGUUAAAUGUAAAAUCUAAGUAAUAUGACUUAGCUUAAUUAAUUGGCAAGUUGGGUGAAACAAGUUUAGCAAAUAUAAUACUAGGUAAUCUUAUCCUUUAUUUUAUUAAAGUUCAUAUUAUUAACCUUAAUCUAUCAAUAUUUAAAUAUGACAAGUUUUUAUAAAAGCUAAUACAAUAGUAAUAAUAAUAGUAAUAAUUAUUUAAGUAAUAAGACGGUACUUAUAAAGUUUAGUAAAUAAGUGAAUAUACAUAGUUCCGCAAUUAUUAUGGUUAACGAGUCAACCUUAUAACUAUAAUAAUAACAUAUGAGGAAUGUUACGAUAUUAAUCGUCUCGUUAUCAAUUAUUGGUUAGAUUAAGGAAAAAGGGAUAUUACAAGCCUCCCCCGACUAUCAAAGUUACUAAGCAGGAUUUGAGGUAAUGACGGGGAUGACGGAAUGGCGUAGCAGUGAGGAAUAAUUACUACUUAAAUUAUGCAGACUCUUAUUAAUAUGUAUUCUAAGCUUGAGAACAUUAGUUUAUGAACCUUAAUUAUGUUUCACCUAGUUAUUUACGCAUUUCUAAGUUAGUUAUGAAGUUUAAUAUUUAUAAAGUUACGUUCUUUAA